UGCUCGGUGGAUUGUCUUCUUAACAGCUGUGGUAUAUUGACCAUACUAAGGUAGCAUAAUAAGUUGCCCUUUAAUUGGGGGCUGGAAUGAAUGGUAAGACGAGGGAGUGACUGUCUCUUCUUCUCUCUGUUGAAAUUGUCCUCUAAGUGAAAAGGCUUAGAUGUUGUUAUAAGACAAAGAGACCCUAGAAGCUUGAUUUGAUAGAGAUAACUGAUUGUCAAUUUAAUUGUCUUUUGUACCUCUUUUGAUUUGGCUGGGGCGGCUCCGGAACAACUAAACUUCCGGACAUAUGUAAUAUAGUACGCAUUUGUGGGAUCGUGAAGUGUUUGCUUUCUAUUUUUGGUAAAGUUACUCUAGGGAUAACAGGGCUUUCCCCUUUAGGAGAACUUAUCUGUUGGGGGGUUAGCUACCUCGAUGUUGGAUUAGGGUUUUCUCGAGGCGCAGAAGCUUUUAUGAGAUUGGUUUGUU
rnacentral:rRNA from 1 species